UACGUAGGUGACAAGCGUUGUCCGGAUUUACUGGGCGUAAAGAGCGCGCAGGCGGUCGUUCAAGUCGAGGGGGAAAGCCCCCGGCUCAACUGGGGAGGGUCAUUCGAUACUGAUCGACUGGAAGGCAGGAGAGGGAAGUGGAAUUCCCGGUGUAGUGGUGAAAUGCGUAGAUAUCGGGAGGAACACCAGUGGCGAAGGCGACUUCCUGGCCUGUUCUUGACGCUGAGGCGCGAAAGCUAGGGGAGCAAACGGG
rnacentral:rRNA from 1 species